UUACAAGUGAUUAAGAUUAUUUUAUUUACAUGUAAAUUGAAACAAUAAAUAUUGUGCUUUGUCAUAAUUUAAAACUCAUUAUGUUGAAGUCUUUUCCAGUUGAUAAAAUUGCAAUUCAAAAACUUUUAGGUAGAUUUGUACUGUAUGGAUGGCACAGGAAGAGAACAGAGAACAAGAGUACAAGAACAUGAAACAUCUUAUUAUGAAUGUAUAUGUAUGUGAUCCUCAAAAAAUUAUUUUUCAAAACAAGAUAGAGAAUGAGCUUUAAAAUCCCAAGGAUCCUGCAAAAUGUCUAUUUGGUGUACUAGUCGAAUAAUAGUAUCUAAAAAUAAUGAAACUGUUUUAAAACACAUUAUGGGCAUGAGGAUGAUAUAGAGCACUUACAUAAAUACCAAAAUCAGAUAAAUAUCUCUUCAAAGUUUAUUUUGAGACUUUCUUCAAAAAUUAAACUUCAGACUGUCCAGGAUAGCAUAAUAGCAUAGGAGGCAAAUUAAAAAGAAUUAAUUUACUUACAAGAAGAGAUAUCACAAACAUUAAACUCUCUUAUGGCAUUGAUUUGAAAGAUGGGUAUAUGUACAAUGAUGAUGCAACCAGUGUUUAUUUUUGGGUUGAAUGCUUACAGAUUAUUUAUUUUUUCCAAUAUUAUUUUACAAACAACAGGGCAUACUAAUGGAUAUUCAUUCUGAAUUUAACAUUUAUGAUUUUUGUCUUAUUUUCCUUAAUACUGUGCCAAAAGGAAAUGUUAAUUAAGUUUGGCAAAUCCUUUAUCGCAAUCGAUGGAACUCAUGGGCUCAAUUCCUAUGACUUUGAACUUAUGACAGUAUUAGUAAAAGAUGAAUUUGGGAAUGGAUUUUGUACUGCUUUCUUAUUUUCAAAUAGAAAAGAUACCUACUUUAAUUUA